ACCGCCGCUAUCGUGCCUCGCUGCCGCAUCCUGCUCCAGCCCUGCGCCCUGCCCCGUCGGACCACCGCACCCCUGCACCACUGCCGCAGCUUGCUCCAGCCUGCGCCCUUCCCCGUCGGGCUCCUGUUGCCUGCUCCGGCCCGCGCCCUGCCCCGUCGUGCCCCUGAACCACAGCUGCCAGGCCUAGUCCGCCACCUGUGUGAUCGGGAUUGGGGAGGAGAAUCAGAGAGGAGCGGUCGGAGGAGAAAAACGAGAGAUAGAGAAGGGGACCGGGUUGGGAGAAGCGUACGUCAGAGGAUCAGGAGGAUCGAACGGCCAGACAGGCGUCGUAUGAAUUUAGCUGGCGUUAUUCUCUCAACAGUAGGUGAAGUAUCUAUUCGCAACGAAGUGCCUGUGGUGAUUUCGUGAAUCUAUCAAGAUCUUCCGACUCAGUCUCUCGGAAGUGCUCAUAUGUAUAAGAUGUGUGUAUAUGUAUUCAUAAGGAUGAGUGUACGCACGUGUUGUGAGCGUCUGCGUUUGUACUUUGUUUUAAAAAAACGCAUGCAUUUUUACUGCCAUAGUAUGAAAAAGCUUUUGUUAAGGUCAA